rnacentral:rRNA from 1 species
UGGAAGUAAAAGUCGUAACAAGGUCUCCGUUGGUGAACCAGCGGAGGGAUCAUUACAGAGUGCAAAAACUCCCAAACCCCUGUGAACAUACCUACAGUUGCCUCGGCAGGUAGGGGCUACCCGGCACUCCCGGGUGCCUCGGCCUGCCGCUGGCCCCCUAAACUCUGUUUUACUGUGUAUCUCUGAAUAGCAAACAAACAAGUUAAAACUUUCAACAACGGAUCUCUUGGUUCUGGCAUCGAUGAAGAACGCAGCGAAAUGCGAUAAGUAAUGUGAAUUGCAGAAUUCAGUGAAUCAUCGAAUCUUUGAACGCACAUUGCGCCCAUUAGUAUUCUAGUGGGCAUGCCUGUUCGAGCGUCAUUUCAACCCUCAAGCCCUGCCGCUUGGUGUUGGGAGCCUACUGGGCCCGGCCCUGUAGCUCCUCAAAGUUAGUGGCGGAGUCAGCACCUACUCUAGGCGUAGUAAUCACUAUCUCGCCUCUGCAGUGGUGCUGGCCCCCGCCGUAAAACCCCCUAAUUCUCAAUGGUGACCUCG